rnacentral:tRNA from 1 species
GAGGAUAUAGCUUAAGUGGUAGAGUGCAUGCUUAGCAUGCAUGAGGUCCUAGGUUCAAUCCCCAGUACCUCCA